rfam:Gongylonema pulchrum genome assembly, scaffold: GPTH_scaffold0027751
CAAACGGCCCUCUUUAGGGCCACAAAUUCACGAGUCAUGCUUCUCU